GGCUCGGUAGCGGAGGGUCCGCACCUGCCACAUGCAGGAGGGCGUAAAUGACUUUUAAUCAUGCAGGAGGAGCCCGUUCGACUCGGGCCCGAGCCA